ACUCCUACGGGAGGCAGCAGUGGGGAAUAUUGGACAAUGGGCGCAAGCCUGAUCCAGCCAUGCCGCGUGUGUGAAGAAGGCCUUCGGGUUGUAAAGCACUUUUGUCCGGAAAGAACAGCUUCGGGUUAAUACCUCGGGGUUCUGACGGUACCGGAAGAAUAAGCACCGGCUAACUUCGUGCCAGCAGCCGCGGUAAUACGAAGGGUGCAAGCGUUACUCGGAAUUACUGGGCGUAAAGCGUGCGUAGGUGGUUUGUUAAGUCUGAUGUGAAAGCCCUGGGCUCAACCUGGGAAUUGCAUUGGAUACUGGCAGGCUAGAGUGCGGUAGAGGAUGGCGGAAUUCCCGGUG
rnacentral:rRNA from 1 species